GCGGUUCUUAUAGCAGGAAUAGUCAAAUUUCCUCAGCUUCGCCACUGAUAUUUCAAGCGCUAUAACAUUAUAUAUAUAUGCCAUACGAUUUAUCCCCAGUUUUAUAUUUUGGCUUCUUUAGAUAUAUUAGUCGUUAUAUGUACAGUAUAUGAGUAUAAAUAUGGAGAAUGCGUUCUAUUAGAAUGACCUACAGUAGAAUGCUUAAAAAUUAGGCAUUAUACUUACAUUCUACACCCAAACCCAAUAGUGUAUUGCCAACAUAAUC